GCGAUGGUGGUAUAGUGGUUAGCAUAGUUGCCUUCCAAGCAAUUGACCCGAGUCUGAUUCUUGGCUAUCGCA
rfam:Daphnia pulex DAPPTscaffold_309_Cont8546, whole genome shotgun sequence.